GGGCCGGUAGCUUAGCUUGGUAGAGCAUCUGUCUUAUAUGACGUGCUUUGAUAACAAACAAAAUCAAAGCAUCUUGGCAUAGCCUGAAAACGUCUAAGCCAGCAGAAGGUCAUGAGUUCAAAUCUCAUUCGGCCCA
rnacentral:tRNA from 1 species